AUGGUUAUUGUUUGUUUUUCAUGCCCAUUGGUAUUCCAAGAGUAUCUGUUAUUAUAUUCAAAUUCAUGCUCAGAUAGAAAAUCUCAUGAAAAUGGAAUUCUCCUCCUAGGUGUUCUGUAUGCGCCCGUAUUGCAGGACGACUUCUACCUCAACUUCGUGGAUUGGUCUUCGCACAAUGUCCUCUCGGCCGGAUCGGGGAAUUGCGUCUACCCGUGGAAUGCAGCAACAAGGUCACCAAGCUCUACGAUUUGGGGGCGGGCCACACUGUUUAUUAGUUGGGCGCAAUGUGGCACCCACCUAUCUGUAGGUACUAACCAAGGCACCGUUCAGGUUUUCAUGUUGCUCCCGUCUGAAAUUGAUCAAAUGGCAUGUUCGGGGUCCAUCAAAGUUUAG
rnacentral:rRNA from 1 species